GAGCGUCUGAAUGUGAGUUAUGAACCGCGUGUGACGGCAGGCGGCGCAGGCAACUGUCGGCGGCGGCAGCAGCGGGCAUGCGGGAGGCAGGGAGGGAGGGAGAGAAGAGAAGAGGAGACUUGGCGGUGUGUGUGCGCGUGUGUGUUUGUGUGUCUGUGUGCAGUGAGAGGGAGGGAGAGUGUCGGCCGCCAGUCGUGGUUCUCCCCGUCGGCUGAGCGGUGCUGCAGCCGCGCUUCACACCCGCACCCAGCCAUGCGGCCCGCGCCCUUCGCUCCGCACCGCAGCACCCCCUGCUGACCCGCGUUGCUGUGAUCGCUCGUCAGCAGGUCCUCUGCGACCCCCGUGCGCUCCUGUUGGAGAUCUGCCGGGAGAACUUGUCCUUAACUUUAAGAACACUUCAGCUGAUGAGCACCUGCCCGGGGCGGUAUAAAGUACGAUACUUUUAAGUUCACGUGUUUUUUGGGAGUCCUUUGGUGAGGCUGUCGUGGCCUGGGUGAUGCUCUCGCCCUUUGUGGCUUUACCUGCUCCCUCGGGAUUGUGUUGUGUACUGUGCAGGGGAGUAGCCGCCGCGGGCUGGCUCGUGGUAUAAACGCUGGUCGCGCACUUGGCGUCGCCUGCUCGAAGUUAAAACUGUGAGGUUGCGUCGCUGCGAGUCUCCUUGUGAAACUUUAUGAUCUUGGAGUGAGUUGACUGUUCUCAUCCAUCUUGUCUUUGUUUCGUGAAGCAGCCAGACGGAGGCCGCGCGGUUGUGACCCAAAGUCUUCUGGCAAGGUCUGUGUUGUGGCCGUGAGUGCCGAGGGUCUGAAGGACGAGGCCUGAGUGUUAAGUCAGUGACCCGCGGCCCUUACCUUGCACACCUGACUUAGACUUGCUCCGACUGCUUUCUGUGCCCCCUUUAUCUAAGUGGGGAAAAAGUGCACCAAAGUGUAUCUGUGCCAGCUGUGGUUAGUUUGCAGCAAGUGUGGCGGAGCUUGAAAGAAAAACAAGACCUUCCGGGACACACUGACGCCCGCCGCCCAAAAGAAGCUCGAGGCCACCAAACGACCUUGACCUCCUGCCUUCGCCGAACACCUGAGGACCUCCCGCCGUGCCAGACAGGUAUGUGGUGACCCAAGAAAAGGAACAGAACGGCAACGCAACAGACAUAUACACAGACGAAACAAACAAACAAACAAACACAUACACAGCACCCUCCCACCCCUCCACUCUCACCCCGAGGAACUUCAGGUAAGGAGACGUCAAGGCGGCGCUGGGAGUUAAAGCGAGACACUGUGUGUGUUUGUGUGUGGGAGAGGGACGUCGGCGUGACACGUGCACCUAACAGACAGGUGAGUCACAACACUCAUUAGGCCGUCCACCCUGACGCGCCUAGCAGGUCUUCCCCCCUUCCUCGCCCUGCACCCGCCAGUCACGUCACUUUCGUCUUCCAAGAAAUUGCUAAUCACACACCGGCCGUGCCUCGUCAGAGGAAAUAGUACGAACAAAAUUUUCAAACACGUCUGGACAGAGCCAGACACAGGCAGUGAGCUAGGGUGUUGUAAUGUCACGAAAGAUUUUGGUAUCUCAAACAUUUGCGAUGUUUCUUUCAUGACCGCUCAUUUUUUAUGAAUUAGUGCAGCACUGGUUUGCUUCUUGUUACCUUAAAAUCAUUUAUUAUUAGGUUGGUGGUGAGGUUUCGGGAAGCUUAAAACCUUCCAUGUUCACAUCCUUCCUCACCAGCUGAGGCGGCCGUCGUGACGGACCCAAAGACUCAGGGCUGAGUGAAGCUGCCCUGCAGUCCUUGGUAUCCCGCCGCCAUCACCUUGCCACAGCAGCCUCGCCGCCACUGAAGCUUCCACAAAAGCCAGGCUCAGAACUCGAUUAUGGGCAAAAUUUUGUCGUAUAUGACAACAAUUCAUGUCAUCCGCAUCUUUUGUGCUUUUCGUUGAUGCGAGUUUCUUUUGUGCUCCAGGAAGGAAGUUUUCUGGCAUUCUGAUGCACCGAACGUGACUUUUUCGCAGUCUUGAGCACCAAGUUUUGUUGCAGCUUGACAGCAUGACGCUGAAAAUGCAGUGACGUCCUGACAUCCGGCGCUGAGGAUGUGGUGGUAUUUUCACGGCCUGCUGCAAGCGUCCACGAGCCUUUGAAGUGUGGGCAGCGAGGGAGAAAUGAUCCCUCUCAACGAACCUCCGCCCAGAGCACGGGAGCGUGAGGCAAGCAGCGGAGGAGAGGAGGGGAAGAGGCGCCGCGACGCUCUUCAUUUUGUGUUCAUCUUUUAUUCCGUGACGAGCAGCGGGACGGGAUUUGGAAACCAUUUAACAUAAAAACAUAAGAACGCAGGAGUCUACAAGAGGCCGGUAGGCCUGUACAAGGCAGCUCCUUUGACCCUAAGCUCCCGUGUAUCUAACCCCACCUGAUAUCGCUGUCCAUGAAUUUAUCUAGUCUAUUUUUGAAUGUGACAAUUGUAUUGGCACUCACCACAUGACUGCUAAGCCUAUUCCACUCAUCCACCACCCUGUUAGUAAACCAAUUUUUGCCUAUGUCUCUGUUGAAUCUGAAUUUAUCCAGUUUAAACCCAUUACUUCGUGUCCUACCCGGUUCUCUUACCAACAAAACCUUAUGAAUGUCUCCCUUAUUAAAGCCCUUCAUCCAUUUAUAAACCUCGAUCAUGUCUCCACGCACCCUUCGCCUUUCUAGAGAAUGCAAGUUUAACUGCUUGAGUCUUUCCUCGUAUGGCAAGUUUCUCAACCCCUGAAUCAUCUUAGUCAUCCUCCUCUGCACCGAU